UAUUUCUUCCCCCCUCCCCAACCGAUGACCUAUUCCUCUGAGAUUUCUUCCGCCCCUCCCCACGCCAUCCACCAACUAACGAGCAGUCAACGCUUCACUUAGCCGGCGAGAGUCUUCUUCUUCCGUGGGAAUGUUCUCUCUCUGUGCGUAUCUCUCUCUCUCUCUCUCUCUCCCCCUUCGUGAUCUUAACUAUUCUUGUUCUUUGUAAGGUUCGGUGUCUCUCACUGGCUCUCUCAAGGUUCAGUAAACACUGAUCGAAGAUCUUUGAUGGGCACAAUGGAAAUGCCGCUGCCAUUUUUACACGGGAGCAUUUGUUGAAUCAUGUGUUGGGUGCAAUGCCCCAUGGACUGGUAUGGAGGAAUGGCUUCAAGCUUUGCCAUGUGCGUUGGUUGAUUGAGUUUGUGAAGACUGGCAAGGAAUUCCAAAGCAGGGGCAUGGAAAUUGGCCUCUUGCUUGUCUUUUUUGUUUUUACCUUUAAAAAGACUAAACUUUGUUUUCCUGUCUACUUGAAGGCCUAACCCAUUUGACUUGAACUGGCUGGCUUGAACUGGAUCUUGUGGAUUAAAGGAAGAUCUCCAGUUAUUUAGCAAACUAGUCCCGUGAUAUGUGAAUUUGGUUUAUGAUUAUACGGUUGUGUUAUUUAUUGUGUUGAACUCAAAUGCUAGAUGGAUAAAAUAUAUACAUUUGUGUUGGAUUGGAUUACAUGGGCA